ACAGUUCACACUUUCCCUUGGAACGCAUUUAUCUAUUACAUGCCUCAGAUCUUCAAGGGCUGACCAACAAUCUAUGGGAAUCUAUCCAUUUAAUAUUUCUGUUCAGUAUUACACAACUUCUUGUAUGGAUCUGGCCCAUACAGUAAGCUGUGCUACUUUGUAUUUUGCAUACGAAUAAAAAUCACGAAGAAUUACAUAUCACAGCUUAAAUAUCAAAGAUGACUGUCAAAUAAUUCAAACAGAAGGCUCUUUAUUAAAGUCACUUUACUGAAAAAUGUUGUAUUGGAAACCAAACAACAUGAAGGAGAAUACUGAAUCAAAGCAAAGAGUCUUGCACAUCUGCACAAGUGCUUCAGUACACAGCUGGAUAACUCCCAACUUUGGUGAAUUUGAAUUUGUUUCUCCACAAAAUGGAAACAUACUUAUCUGCCAUAUCUCACAGAGGAAGAAUGUAUAAAGAUUUCUUCCAAGGAAUUUCAUCAAAAGACACCAAGUGAUGGGAGUGCUACAUACAACUACAUGCUGCUUCUUCUUGUUGCAAGAAGUUUAAAAGGAGGAAGAAUGACAGCCACUCUUUACUGGAGACCUGAAAGCGUUUUUCGUGACACUUGUAUUGCAUAAAAACACAAUUAUCAAAUGUCACCAGCAAUAAUAAAGCUUUGCUAAGGAUGUGGAUAUUCACCACCUUAUCACAAAUCAAAGAACAAUCAUCAAAGGAAGAGACACAUUCUUAUGCAUAACAGUAACCUUAUUUUAUGGCGCAUCAUUUGUAUAGCUAUUUAAUUUUAACAGCUGGUGAACAAAUGACUUUACUAUAAUGUUGAAUUUCGUUCACUAGCUGUAUAUAUUUUUCCAUAGAGUACUGAUCCAAAGUCAAAUCAAAGUCAGUCAGCAUCAGCAUACAAAUUAGUAUUCCUUUCUGUGAUAAUCCAAGUUUUGACUGACCAUGCUCCUGCUGAUGCCAAUGGCUAGCCUGGGGUCUCAUUUGGUUGUAAAGACAAUGAACCAAAACCAUUAGAUGGCUAGAAAUUUGGCAGAAGCUGAAAUCCCAGAGCAGAGAACACUUCGGAAGUUAGAGCAACAUUCAUAUUUUUCUAAAAGUAUCCACAUGCAAUAUGAUAUCUUCAGUAUGUAAAACACAUCAGAGGAACAUGAGCUGCUUUUGUGGUGUGUAAUAAAUGUUGGAUGGAAGAAUGAAAACGCUCUCUAGUUUCCU